rnacentral:lncRNA from 1 species
GCCCGGCUGGUGCUCGCUGCUGUUCGGCUUCUGCCUUCCCGGCCCGCGGAGCGUGCCCUCUCGGUGAGCUAGCUGCGGUUUGCUGCCGGCAGGCCCUCCAUACAGCCAAACUUGUUGUCUCAGGAUAUCCCGCCCCCUACUCAGUUCCCGGCGCCCUCCACUCAAAAGCGCGCCGCAGCAUCCUGCGAGGGGCCGCGGAAGGAAGACAUGGAGCUAGGCUUAAGGGAGAGGAGCGGGGCGAGCGCGGGGAAGCGUGAGCUCCCUGCGAUCCCGUGGUCUGAGUGGACUGCCAGCUGCCCCCUCGGCGUGAGCAUGGCUUUUCCUAAGGCGCAUCCGGACCCGGGCGCCCUUUUUCCCUGGCUCGGCUCUCAUUGGAUGAGGCCGCUGACGCACAACCUCUCAUCAAGGAAACUUCUCCUUGCAACAGAUGAAGACCACCAUAGAAGACAACAACCAACCAUGCAAAGUUUUAAAGCAUGGCACCAGUGAACAUAUCUACAAAACACUUCUGCACCUAAGGCUCAGGGAACAUCGAGGAAGAGGAGGCAGAGAGGUCGUAAGGGCCAGAGGAUCAGAUAAUUUUCUGCAAGACUGUCAAUCUCAGAGUAAUGUCAGAAGCCACACCUAUAAAAAUCUCACUAAUAGGACUGCCCAAUUGUGAGCUGAACAAGAACAGCACCAAUGGACAUGCCAAAGUGGGCAAGAAGAGGCCAGGAGGACACAACACUACACAAAGAACUGUAGGCAAUGAGGCACGCUGGAAACGGGGGAGGCAAAGUGUCCACACUUUGGUCUUCGUUCUCUUGAGUUUAAUGUGUUAGCAAAUUAAUUGUAUCUUAUGUCUUGGGUAUCCUAAGUUUCUGGGCUAAUAUCCACUUAUCAGUGAGUACAUAUUGUGAGAGUUCCUUUGUGAUUGGGUUACCUCACUCAGGAUGAUGCCCUCCAGGUCCAUCCAUUUGCCUAGGAAUUUCAUAAAUUCAUUCUUUUUAAUAGCUGAGUAGUACUCCAUUGUGUAAAUGUACCACAAUUUCUGUAUCCAUUCCUCUGUUGAGGGGCAUCUGGGUUCUUUCCAGCUUCUGGCUAUUAUAAAUAAGGCUGCUAUGAACAUA